CUAAUUAGUGGCGCGCAUGAAUGAAGUAAUCACCUCUUUACUGUCUCUUACACAAUCUCAGUGAAAUUGGAAUACUUGUGAAAAUACAAGUUUUUAAUGAUUAGACAGAAAGACCCCAAGACCUUUACUAUUUUUUUCCAUUGACAUCUUUUGAUAGUUAAAUAGAUUAGGUGGUAGUUUUAAAAAACUAAAUAUGAAAGACCACUUUCUUAUUAAAAAACGUCUAACUUUUUUAAAAAAGAAAAAAGUGUAAAAUUGGUAGUUUAGCUGGGGCGGUUUCCUACUAAAAAAUAACGAAGGAGUACAUAAAAUAAACUCAUAUAAAUUUUUUUAUAAAAGAGCAUAAUAGUAUAUGUUUAUUUAACUGCAAGAAAAACAAUUUCAAACAGAAGUGUAAGCUGGUUAUAAUGAUCCGAUAAUUUUGAGUGGAAAAUUUAUCGCUUAACGAAUAAAAGGUACCUUGGGGAUAACAGCCUAAUUACUCUUUAAAGUUCAUAUUGAAAGAGUAGCUUGGGACCUCGAUGUCGGCUCAUCAUAACCUGACGCUGUAGUUGGUGUCAAGGGUGCGGUUGUUCGCCGCAAAAUAUGAUACGUGAGCUGGGUUCAGAACGCUGUGAAGCAGUUUGGUCCUUAUCUUUCAUUAACAAAUGAAAACUGAAAAAAGUAAAUCUUAGUACGAGAGGACCAGAAAAAAUAUACCUAUGGUGUAGCAAUUGUUUAAUUUGCAAAGUUGCAUAGCUAAGUAUACUAAACUAAGUGCUGAAAACAUAUAAGCAUAAAAUUUUUUUUAAGAAGUCCGGUUUUCAAGUUAAGAAUUGUAAUAGAUUAUUACAUAAAUAGAUAAACGUGUGUAAUUUUUGUAAAAAGUUUAGCCUCUUUAAACUAAAAUUU
rnacentral:rRNA from 1 species